UUCAAGAGAAAAUUGGUGGAUUUCAAGUAAUCAAGCAAUUAAAGGUGGUGAGCCCUCUAACAAGGGUAAAGACGUUAUGUCAGAGGAUUGAGAAUAUGAGUAUUUCAAACUCCUGAUACACUUGUUGCAGUGGGCGGGUUCUGUGGACCAACCUUUUCGAGGGGCACAAAAUUCGGGUAUAUUCUUACCUCGGUUGGAUAGGCGCGUAGAGUAACUCCCGAGGUACAACUUUAGA